rnacentral:lncRNA from 1 species
GGAGAAAUAGGAAGGCUGGAGUGCCCAUCUGCGAGGGUUGAUGUGGAGGUGUUUACUUCCUUGGGUAGGAUGUUGGGCAAGAUGGUUGCUAACGUCCUUUCCAACUAUGUUUUUAAAAUUAGAAUUUGAAUAUUUAUGGAGGCCUUUCUGAGAAAGUACAAAGCCCUGAGAAUAUUGUAAUGCAUAUAGAUUCUGCUAUCUUGUUACAUAGAGAAGAAUGGGAACUGAUGUCCCCAAAUCCAACCAAGAUGGGGUAUUACAAGUCAGAAGGUUGAGGGUCACUGCUCUGUGUGUUACCAGUGGAGGCCGUCCAGGUUCUUGGCAUCUUGAACAAAGAACUGGACAAAACGCACAAACAAAACAAAGAAUGAAGCAACAAAAGCAGAGAUUUAUUGAAAUGAAAGUACACUCCACAGGGUGGGAGCAGGCCUGAGCAUAGGGGGUCAAGAGCCUAGUUACAGAAUUUUCUGGUUUGAAUACUCUCUAAAGGUUUCCCAGUGGCCACUUGGUGUAGGCUUCCUGCAAAAGAAGUAGUAGACUGCAGUUAGUUUGAUUGGUUGCCAGAGCAACCAGUCAGAGUCUAAAGUGAAGUUACAAAGUUACGCUUCCAUGCAAACAAAGACUUGGCCCCAGUCUGGUAGGUUGCAGAAGGCAACCAAUCAGAGGUACUUUCAAUUUUCCAUCUGCCAUGUAGAAAAAGUGGGGGCGGUUUGCAAAGGGAAUAGCCUCUGGUCCUGUUUUUACUUAGUUGUGGAAAGUUGGGGUUUUCCUUAUGAUUUAGUUCUAAGAAGUCAGUGUGAAUCAGCCACAGGUUUUCUGUCUCCAGAACCUAUUCUCCUGCCUCAUGUGGAGAGCCCGAGGGUGGAACAGUGAAUAGUGCAGUUGCUCAGUGGAUUGAUUGAUCGAGAAGCCAUCCUUACCAGGAGGAGGAUCUAUGCCCCUUGGAAGACAGAGACUGCUGCGGAGACAUUCUUAGACCCACUAGUCAGACAAUAACGUUGACUGCCUGAUCCGUCCUUGCUGGGUUGCUGGGGUCUCUGAAGAAAUGGAUGCUAUGUAUAGCUCUGUAUGUCAGGUUUGUGUCUAAAUGUGUUACUGUAAGGGGAACUGAAAUGGUUUAAUAAUUAUUAUUGCAUUCAGCGGAGAUUUGCUGUUUGCUUGCUUACCCUGUGCCGGACACUGUGUUAUGCUUUUGUAAUAGGUCAGUACACAAAACAAAGACCCCUGCACUGAUGGUGUUUAUGUGCAGGCAGCAUGGGAAUGCAGGAGUCAGAUGUUAAGCAUGAGAUAUAAAAUAGGUAAAUUAUAUAGCAUGUUAGAAAGAGGUAAGAGUUAUAGAAAAAUUUAAAAAGGUAGACAUGAGAAUCGGA